GUAGGUGAACCUGCGGAAGGAUCAUUACCUUUCAAUGCGGCAGAAUGGGGAUGGUUGAGAUUCUCGCCUCUCCGUUCCGCCUGUAUUCUACCCUUGUUUGUCAUAUACUAUUAUUUCCUCGGCAGGCUUGCUUGCCGAGUGAAACCAAUUAUAACCUAUUUAAUUGCCAAUCAGCGUCUGAAAAAAUUAAUAAUUACAACUUUCAACAACGGAUCUCUUGGUUCUG
rnacentral:misc_RNA from 1 species